UACGGAGGAUCCAAGCGUUAUCCGGAUUUAUUGGGUUUAAAGGGUGCGUAGGCGGCUUUUUUAAGUCAGUGGUGAAAGCCUAGUGCUUAACACUAGAACGGCCAUUGAUACUGGAAGCUUGAGUCAAGGAGAGGUAAGCAGAAUUUAUAGUGUAGCAGUGAAAUGCUUAGAUACUAUAAGGAAUACCAAUAGCGAAGGCAGCUUACUGGCCUUGUACUGACGCUGAGGCACGAAAGCGUGGGGAGCAAACAGG
rnacentral:rRNA from 1 species